rnacentral:tRNA from 1 species
GUCCCAAUAGCUCAGCUGGAUAGAGCAAUCGCCUCCUAAGCGAUAGGUCGGAGGUUCAAAUCCUCUUUGGGACG